rnacentral:rRNA from 1 species
GGAAUCUUGCGCAAUGGGCGAAAGCCUGACGCAGCAACGCCGCGUGAGGGAUGACGGCCUUCGGGUUGUAAACCUCUUUCAGGAGGGACGAAGCGAAAGUGACGGUACCUUCAGAAGAAGCCCCGGCCAACUACGUGCCAGCAGCCGCGGUAAUACGUAGGGGGCGAACGUUGUCCGGAUUUAUUGGGCGUAAAGAGCUCGUAGGCGGCUCAACAAGUCGGCCGUGAAAACCCGGGGCUCAACCCCGGGACGCCGGUCGAAACUGUUGUGGCUAGGGUUCGGUAGAGGAGAGUGGAAUUCCCGGUGUAGCGGUGAAAUGCGCAGAUAUCGGGAGGAACACCAGUAGCGAAGGCGGCUCUCUGGGCCGAUACCGACGCUGAGGAGCGAAAGCUAGGGGAGCAAA